UACGUAGGGUGCGAGCGUUAAUCGGAAUUACUGGGCGUAAAGCGUGCGCAGGCGGCUUUGCAAGACAGAUGUGAAAUCCCCGGGCUUAACCUGGGAACUGCAUUUGUGACUGCAUGGCUAGAGUGCGGCAGAGGGGGAUGGAAUUCCGCGUGUAGCAGUGGAAUGCGUAGAUAUGCGGAGGAACACCGAUGGCGAAGGCAAUCCCCUGGGCCUGCACUGACGCUCAUGCACGAAAGCGUGGGGAGCAAACAGG
rnacentral:rRNA from 1 species